rnacentral:misc_RNA from 1 species
GUGCGAGUCUUGUUGGUUCGCGUCUUGCUAGUCUUCUGGAACUCAGCUGCUGCCUGCUUCUGAGAUAGGAAUUACGCGAUCUCCUUCGAUUUUCUGCUGUGGCCACCGUAAGCUUCUCAAUCUACGCUCUUUGCCUUCUCAAAAUUUAGCUAGGGUUUCUAGAUCUUCGAUUCAUUUGCUAUUUCUCAAAAUUAGAGUUGCGUGAUUGCGUUGGAUCGUUGUUGGGAUCUUUAAAUUAAUCACUUUUGGUUAGUGCUCAUUUCAAUUGCGGGACGAUUAAGUUUUAUCAAACAGGUCUUUGAUUAUUAAAUUGUUAGUGUUAUUAGAUUUCCCUAAAGUACUGAAAUAUGCAGUAUGCAUAGAUUCUCUGUCUUUUAAACCUAAUAAUAAGUAUGCAGGAAAUGAGUAUUUGGGUAUUGAUGGACUGCAAAUCAAUUGAAAUAAUGGAGGAGUCUAUUUUUGAAUUUUGUAUGAAUUUUUU